CCUUGCAUGUCUUAAAAAAACGUUUAUAACGGUAAAUUUGCAUACAUGCUCAAAAGAGAAAAAGUCGCAUAUGUCAAUAGUCUUAUCUUUAUAAAGAGUCCAAAUUGCAUAAAGCCGGACCAUAUUAUAAAAAACAAAGAUAGCUAAUUGAAUCAUUUGAACGAACGUAUCAAACAUGUUCAAAAGGACACCUUAAUCACAUGACUUGUGCAAUAAAAUAUUAAAACGGAUUUUAGAU